rnacentral:rRNA from 1 species
GACGAACGCUGGCGGCGUGCUUAACACAUGCAAGUCGAACGGUGAAAGCGGAGCUUGCUCCGCUGGAUCAGUGGCGAACGGGUGAGUAACACGUGGGCAACCUGCCCCUGACUUCGGGAUAACCCCUCGAAAGAGGUGCUAAUACCGGAUACGAAUCCUGCAGGCAUCUGCGGGAUUGGAAAGUUUUUCGGUCAGGGAUGGGCCCGCGGCCUAUCAGCUUGUUGGUGAGGUAGUGGCUCACCAAGGCGACGACGGGUAGCCGGCCUGAGAGGGGGGCCGGCCACACUGGGACUGAGCCACGGCCCAGACUCCUACGGGAGGCAGGAGAGGGGAAUGUUGCUCAAUGGGCGAAAGCCUGACGCAGCAACGCCGCGUGAGGGAUGACGGCCUUCGGGUUGUAAACCUCUUUCAGCAGGGAAGAAGCGAAAGUGACGGUACCUGCAGAAGAAGCACCGGCUAACUACGUGCCAGCAGCCGCCGUAA